rnacentral:rRNA from 1 species
AUGAUAGGAUCCAACUUGAGUGUACAUGGACAUCAACAUGUGGACGAUGAUCUCCCAAAAACUCGCGCAUCACUUGGUGAUAUGAUUGAGGAGAGUAUAGUUGCAGCUAUGCGGAUGAUGUUUGGUGGUCGUCUUCCUAUUGCCGGUAAUGGGGAUCAACAUCAACACAGCCCCGCUGCCUCGCUGGCCGCCGACAACCGACAACGUCAAGAACACAAUGAUCGCCAUGUUGGUUGUGGACGAGCGGCAAGAGCUACUGCCCACGGCGCCCCUGCUGUUGGUGCUGAAAGGAGGCACGUCGACUUUGCUGCCCCCCGUGAGGGUGGGCUGCAUGGAGGAGAAGCUCGCAGGAGAGGCCAUGACCCCCGCGGGUUUGCUACUGAUCACCGGCGACAAGCGGCACAUGAUGAUGAUGCCAUCUUCCUUGAAGAUCUCUCCGAGCAUGGUGACGAAGAUGAAGGCAUGGGGGACUAUGAACCCUACUCCCCGCCUCGCUGUGUUGCUAUUUUUUAUCACAAUGGUCAUCAUUAUGACCGUCGUGAUCAGGAUGACUGUGAUAACCAAGCGAGAGUGAAGCUACAUGUGCCAUCAUUCACGGUAAAAGACGACCUAGAUGCAUAUAUUGAGUGGGAAGAGAACUGUGACCAAAUCUUUCGCAUCCAUGGUUUUUCUGAAGCCAAGAGAGUUGAUCUUGCUGUUGUGGAGUUCUCUGGUUAUGCUCUUACAUGUUGGAAUCAUCUGCAAGACAAUCGGUUGAUGUCAGGAAAUAAUCAUAUCCGCAGCUGGACCUUGAUGAAGGAAGUCAUGAGGCGCCGUUUUGUUCCAUCAUACUAUGAGAGGCAAUUGUACAAGCGGUUGCAGGGGCUCACUCAAGGUUCCCGCACUAUUGAGGAGUACUAUAAAGAGAUGGAGGAGCUGCUGAUUCGGACAAGAACCCGUGAAAAUGAUGAGGCGAAAAUGGCAAGAUUUUUAAAUGGGCUGAAUGAUGAAAUAUCAGAUUUUGUGGAGAUGUUUCCUUAUGAUACAUUACAAGAUGUGUUACAUCAAGAUAUAAGAGUUGAGAAGAAGAAUAUGCGUAAUGUUCGUACUCAUGCUUUCCAAGGCCGCACCACCACCCGCUCAUGGCAGCAAGCACAACAGCCAUAUGGUUCUCAGUUUGAGGGUGCACCACCUAGACACCCACAUGCCUCGACGGCUUCCUCACCUGCUAUUCGCAAUUAA